GACGAACGCUGGCGGCGUGCUUAACACAUGCAAGUCGAGCGGUAAGGCCUUUCGGGGUACACGAGCGGCGAACGGGUGCGUAACACGUGGGUGAUCUGCCCUGCACUUCGGGAUAAGCCUGGGAAACUGGGUCUAAUACCGGAUAUGACCUCCUAUCGCAUGGUGGGUGGUGGAAAGAUUUAUCGGUGCAGGAUGGGCCCGCGGCCUAUCAGCUUGUUGGCGGGGUAAUGGCCUACCAAGGCGACGACGGGUAGCCGACCUGAGAGGGUGACCGGCCACACUGGGACUGAGACACGGCCCAGACUCCUACGGGAGGCAGCAGUGGGGAAUAUUGCACAAUGGGCGAAAGCCUGAUGCAGCGACGCCGCGUGAGGGAUGACGGCCUUCGGGUUGUAAACCUCUUUCAGCAGGGACGAAGCGCAAGUGACGGUACCUGCAGAAGAAGCACCGGCUAACUACGUG
rnacentral:rRNA from 1 species